UACGAAGGGGGCUAGUGUUGCUCGGAAUUACUGGGCGUAAAGGGCGCGUAGGCGGACAUUUAAGUCAGGGGUGAAAUCCCAGAGCUCAACUCUGGAACUGCCUUUGAUACUGGGUGUCUUGAGUGUGAGAGAGGUAUGUGGAACUCCGAGUGUAGAGGUGAAAUUCGUAGAUAUUCGGAAGAACACCAGUGGCGAAGGCGACAUACUGGCUCAUUACUGACGCUGAGGCGCGAAAGCGUGGGGAGCAAACAGG
rnacentral:rRNA from 1 species